UACGUAGGGACCAAGCGUUGUUCGGAUUUACUGGGCGUAAAGGGCGCGUAGGCGGCAAUUCAAGUCAUCUGUGAAAUCUCCGGGCUUAACCCGGAACGGUCAGGUGAUACUGUUUUGCUAGAGUGCGGAAGGGGCAAUCGGAAUUCUCGGUGUAGCGGUGAAAUACGUAGAUAUCGAGAGGAACACCAGAGGUGAAGACGGGUUGCUGGGCCGACACUGACGCUGACAGCGCGAAAGCCAGGGGAGCAAACGGG
rnacentral:rRNA from 1 species